rnacentral:rRNA from 1 species
GACAGGAGGGGGCAAGCGUUGUCCGGAGUUACUGGGCGUAAAGCGCGCGUAGGCGGUACGGUAAGUAAGGUGUGAAAAGCCCCCAGGCUUAACCUGGGGAGGUCGAUCUUCGACUGCCGCACUCGAGACCUGCAGAGGGUGGUGGAAUUGCUGGUGUAGUGGUGAAAUGCGUAGAGAUCAGCAGGAACACCAAGGGCGGAAGCAGCCACCUGGGCAGGGUCUGACGCUGAGGUGCGAAAGCGGUGGGGAGCGAACCGG